GAUGAAAAACGCAGCGAACUGCGAUAAGUAAUGUGAAUUGCAGAAUUCAGUGAAUCAUCGAGUCUUUGAACGCACAUUGCGCCCCCUGGCAUUCCGGGGGGCAUGCCUGUCCGAGCGUCAUUGCUGCCCUUCAAGCCCGGCUUGUGUGUUGGGUCGUCGUCCCCCCCGGGGGACGGGCCCGAAAGGCAGCGGCGGCACCGCGUCCGGUCCUCGAGCGUAUGGGGCUUUGUCACCCGCUCGAUUAGGGCCGGCCGGGCGCCAGCCGGCGUCUCCAACCUUCUAUUUUACCAGGUUGACCUCGGAUCAGGUAGGGAUACCCGCUGAACUUAAGCAUAUCAAUAAGCGGAGGA
rnacentral:misc_RNA from 1 species